GGAUUAGAUACCCUGGUAGUCCACGCUGUAAACGAUGUGCACUAGGUGUUGGGCCGCUGAAGGCUCAGUGCCGUAGCUAACGCGUUAAGUGCACCGCCUGGGGAGUAUGCUCGCAAGGGUGAAACUCAAAGGAAUUGACGGGGGCCCGCACAAGCGGUGGAGCAUGUGGUUUAAUUCGAUGAUACGCGAGGAACCUUACCAGGGCUUGACAUAUGCAGGAAUGCGCAUGAGAGUGCGCAGCCCUUCGGGGCCUGUAUACAGGUGCUGCAUGGCUGUCGUCAGCUCGUGCUG
rnacentral:rRNA from 1 species